rnacentral:rRNA from 1 species
GACGAACGCUGGCGGCGUGCUUAACACAUGCAAGUCGAACGAAGAGCGAUGGAAGCUUGCUUCUAUCAAUCUUAGUGGCGAACGGGUGAGUAACGCGUAAUCAACCUGCCCUUCAGAGGGGGACAACAGUUGGAAACGACUGCUAAUACCGCAUACGAUCCAAUCUCGGCAUCGAGACUGGAUGAAAGGUGGCCUCUAUUUAUAAGCUAUCACUGAAGGAGGGGAUUGCGUCUGAUUAGCUAGUUGGAGGGGUAACGGCCCACCAAGGCGAUGAUCAGUAGCCGGUCUGAGAGGAUGAACGGCCACAUUGGGACUGAGACACGGCCCAGACUCCUACGGGAGGCAGCAGUGGGGAAUCUUCCGCAAUGGACGAAAGUCUGACGGAGCAACGCCGCGUGAGUGAUGACGGCCUUCGGGUUGUAAAGCUCUGUUAAUCGGGACGAAUGGUUCUUGUGCGAAUAGUGCGAGGAUUUGACGGUACCGGAAUAGAAAGCCACGGCUAACUACGUGCCAGCAGCCGCGGUAAUACGUAGGUGGCAAGCGUUGUCCGGAAUUAUUGGGCGUAAAGGGCUUGUAGGCGGCUGGUCGCGUCUGCCGUGAAAUCCUCUGGCUCAACUGGGGGCGUGCGGUGGGUACGGGCUGGCUUGAGUGCGGUAGGGGAGGCUGGAACUCCUGGUGUAGCGGUGGAAUGCGCAGAUAUCAGGAAGAACACCGGUGGCGAAGGCGGGUCUCUGGGCCGUUACUGACGCUGAGGAGCGAAAGCGUGGGGGAGCGAACAGG